rnacentral:rRNA from 1 species
AAGUCGAGCGGCAGGGGGAGCAAUCCUCCUGAGAGCGGCGGACUGGUGAGUAACGCGUGGGUGACCUACCUUAAGGUUGGGGAUAGCCGUUAGAAAUAGCGGGUAAUACCGAAUGUGGUUGCCGGGCAGUGGUCUGGCAAAGAAAGGGGCUCAGGCCCCGCCUUGAGAUGGGCCCGCGUCCCAUUAGGUAGUUGGCAGGGUAAGAGCCUACCAAGCCCGAGAUGGGUAGCCGGCCUGAGAGGGUGAACGGCCACACUGGGACUGAGAUACGGCCCAGACUCCUACGGGAGGCAGCAGCUAAGAAUAUUCCGCAAUGGACGGAAGUCUGACGGAGCGACGCCGCGUGAAUGAGGAAGGCCGAAAGGUUGUAAAAUUCUUUUACGGAUGAAGAAUACGGCGGGGAGGGAAUGCCCUGCUGAUGACGUUAGUCCGUGAAUAAGCCCCGGCUAAUUACGUGCCAGCAGCCGCGGUAACACGUAAGGGGCGAGCGUUGUUCGGAAUUAUUGGGCGUAAAGGGCGCGUAGGCGGUUACGUAAGUCUGAUGUGAAAGGCGGGGGCUCAACCCCCGGACUGCAUUGGAAACUGGGUAACUAGAGUCAUGGAGGGGGAGUUGGAAUUCCUGGUGUAGGGGUGAAAUCUGUAGAUAUCAGGAAGAACACCGGUGGCGAAGGCGAACUUCUAGCCAAUGACUGACGCUGAGGCGCGAAAG